GCUGGGUGCAGUGGAGCACACCUGUAAUCCCAGAAGCUCAGGAGGCUGAGGCAGGAGGAUCGAAAGUUCAAAGCCACCCUCUGCAAAAGUGAGGCACUAAGCAACUCAGUGAGACCCUGUCUCUA
rnacentral:sRNA from 1 species